UACGUAGGGGGCAAGCGUUGUCCGGAAUUAUUGGGCGUAAAGCGCGCGCAGGCGGUCCUUUAAGUCUGAUGUGAAAGCCCACGGCUCAACCGUGGAGGGUCAUUGGAAACUGGGGGACUUGAGGUGCAGAAGAGGAAAGCGGAAUUCCACGUGUAGCGGUGAAAUGCGUAGAGAUGUGGAGGAACACCAGUGGCGAAGGCGGCUUCUGGUCGUGUAACUGACGCUGAGGCGCGAAAGCGUGGGGAGCAAACAGG
rnacentral:rRNA from 1 species